rnacentral:rRNA from 1 species
AUUGAACGCUGGCGGCAUGCCUUACACAUGCAAGUCGAACGGCAGCACGGGAGCAAUCCUGGUGGCGAGUGGCGAACGGGUGAGUAAUAUAUCGGAACGUGCCCAGUCGUGGGGAUAACGUAGCGAAAGCUACGCUAAUACCGCAUACGAUCUAUGGAUGAAAGCGGGGGAUCGCAAGACCUCGCGCGAUUGGAGCGGCCGAUAUCAGAUUAGGUAGUUGGUGAGGUAAAGGCUCACCAAGCCGACGAUCUGUAGCUGGUCUGAGAGGACGACCAGCCACACUGGGACUGAGACACGGCCCAGACUCCUACGGAGGCAGCAGUGGGGAAUAUUGGACAAUGGGCGGAAAGACCUGAUCCAGCAAUGCCGCGUGAGUGAUGAAGGCCUUAGGGUUGUAAA